UAAUGAAAAUUACGAACUGGAGAAGCUAAAGUUUUUUUAAAGGAUGUAGACGGAAGAAUGCAAGCUGGCGCAAAGCAGCUUUCUAGUUGAAUUAAGAAAAAGAAGGAGUCGUCACCUCCAAGCUCAACUGCCUAAAGCGCCAUUUUUUAACUAAUAUCAAUUAAAAAACGGUUAACCGAUUAAGUGUAAUUGAGGACAGCUCCCAAAUGUUCUACACUUCAAACUUAAAGGUGUAUUUAACGAAAAUCUACCAGAACAAGAUAAGACCUCAUAUUAAUAAGCUUAGGCCUAUACAGCAGGAACUGUACUUUAAAAUGGAGGGCUUUAGAGUUCAACCCCUGGACAUGCGUUCUUCGACUGAGUUGCAAUUCGUCGAUCACUUAUAGUUACGUAAUUGUGGUUAGUACCUCAGUUGAAAGUAAUGAGUUGUAGGUAACUUAUAAGACCUCUCCAGCAAGUAAAACAUGUUUGAGAAUCCUGAACUUUAAAUAACCCAGCUAAUGUAAUGGAAAAUAUCUCGAGCUCGUUUAUUGAUAUUAUAAUUACGUUGUCUAUUACGCUCCUCUGUUUAAUUAACCCUUUAAAAAUUGUGCUUGUCAAGUAAAAAUAAUAUUUAUAUGUAACCUUCUGGAAGCUGUAGUCACUGUGUACGGUUUUCCAGCAUAAGAACAGUCGACAUAUAAGGACGGCUAGCCGGGCAGAAUAACUUUCUAAUAAUUGAGUUUACCUACGAGCCUUUUGACGGUGCACGCUCUCGACGUCUGCAUGACGCGCUUUGAGCGCUUGCUAUUUUUAGGUUUGAGGUUAGAGUUUUAACGCUAGCAGAUAGUAUAUAUAUGUAAUUC